UACGUAGGUGACAAGCGUUGUCCGGAUUUACUGGGCGUAAAGAGCGCGCAGGCGGUCGUUCAAGUCGCGUGUGAAAGCCCCCGGCUCAACUGGGGAGGGUCACGCGAUACUGAUCGACUCGAAGGCAGGAGAGGGAAGUGGAAUUCCCGGUAUAGUGGUGAAAUGCGUAGAUAUCGGGAGGAACACCAGUGGCGAAGGCGACUUCCUGGCCUGUUCUUGACGCUGAGGCGCGAAAGCUAGGGGAGCAAACGGG
rnacentral:rRNA from 1 species